rnacentral:rRNA from 1 species
GGUUUUUAGUUUUUUUUAAAAAUCUAAUCUGCCCAAUGAUUAAAUUUUAAAUGGCCGCGGUAAUUUGACCGUGCUAAGGUAGCAUAAUAAUUAGGCUUUUAAUUGAAGUCUGGUAUGAAUGAUUGGAUGAGAAAUUAACUUUCUUUAGUUAUCUAUUAUAACUUAAUCUUUAAGUGAAAAAGCUUAAAUCUUUUUAAGGGACGAUAAGACCCUAUAGAACUUAAUUAAUUAAAUAACUAGUUUAUUAUCUAGAUUAACAUAAUUUUAUAGUUUUUAUUUUUUUUAUUGGGGUGAUAAUAAUAUUAUUAAAACUUUUAUUAUUUUCAUCAUAAAUUAAUGUAAAUCUUGAUCCUUUUCUAAUGAUUAGAAGUUAAAGUUACCUUAGGGAUAACAGCGUAAUUUAUUUGAAGAGUUCUUAUCAAUAAAUAAGUUUGCGACCUCGAUGUUGGAUUAAGAUAAAAUAAAGGAGUAGAUAUUUUUAUUUUAGGUCUGUUCGACCUUAUUAUUCUUACA